GAUGAACGCUGGCGGCGUGCCUAAUACAUGCAAGUCGAGCGAACAGACGAGGAGCUUGCUCCUCUGACGUUAGCGGCGGACGGGUGAGUAACACGUGGAUAACCUACCUAUAAGACUGGGAUAACUUCGGGAAACCGGAGCUAAUACCGGAUAAUAUAUUGAACCGCAUGGUUCAAUAGUGAAAGACGGUUUUGCUGUCACUUAUAGAUGGAUCCGCGCCGCAUUAGCUAGUUGGUAAGGUAACGGCUUACCAAGGCAACGAUGCGUAGCCGACCUGAGAGGGUGAUCGGCCACACUGGAACGGAGACACGGUCCAGACUCCUACGGGGGGCAGCAGUAGGGAAUCUUCCGCAAUGGGCGAAAGCCUGACGGAGCAACGCCGCGUGAGUGAUGAAGGUCUUCGGAUCGUAAAACUCUGUUAUUAGGGAAGAACAAAUGUGUAAGUAACUAUGCACGUCUUGACGGUACCUAAUCAGAAAGCCACGGCUAACUACGUG
rnacentral:rRNA from 1 species